CAGUAGCCACGGGAAUACGUAGUGCGCAAGCGUUAUCCGGAAUUAUUGGGCGUAAAGAGCUCGCAGGCGGUUUGUCGCGUCUGCCGUGAAAUCCCGAGGCUCAACCUCGGGCCUGCAGUGGGUACGGGCAGACUAGAGUGCGGUAGGGGAGAUUGGAAUUCCUGGUGUAGCGGUGGAAUGCGCAGAUAUCAGGAGGAACACCGAUGGCGAAGGCAGAUCUCUGGGCCGUAACUGACGCUGAGGAGCGAAAGGGUGGGGAGCGAACAGGAUUAGAGACCCCUGUAGUCCCUGUCUCUUAUAC
rnacentral:rRNA from 1 species